UUGGAGAGUUUGAUCCUGGCUCAGGACGAACGCUGGCGGCGUGCUUAACACAUGCAAGUCGAACGAAGAGCGAUGGAAGCUUGCUUCUAUCAAUCUUAGUGGCGAACGGGUGAGUAACGCGUAAUCAACCUGCCCUUCAGAGGGGGACAACAGUUGGAAACGACUGCUAAUACCGCAUACGAUCUAAUCUCGGCAUCGAGGAUAGAUGAAAGGUGGCCUCUACAUGUAAGCUAUCACUGAAGGAGGGGAUUGCGUCUGAUUAGCUAGUUGGAGGGGUAACGGCCCACCAAGGCGAUGAUCAGUAGCCGGUCUGAGAGGAU
rnacentral:rRNA from 1 species